CUCUGUGACUCCUACGGGAGGCAGCAGUGGGGAAUAUUGCACAAUGGGGGAAACCCUGAUGCAGCCAUGCCGCGUGUGUGAAGAAGGCCUUCGGGUUGUAAAGCACUUUCAGUAGGGAGGAAGGUAGUGUAGUUAACACCUGCAUUAUUUGACGUUACCUACAGAAGAAGCACCGGCUAACUCCGUGCCAGCAGCCGCGGUAAUACGGAGGGUGCGAGCGUUAAUCGGAAUUACUGGGCGUAAAGCGCAUGCAGGCGGCCUGUUAAGUCAGAUGUGAAAGCCCGGGGCUUAACCUCGGAAUUGCAUUUGAAACUGGCAGGCUAGAGUCUUGUAGAGGGGGUAGAAUUUCAGGUGUAGCGGUGAAAUGCGUAGAGAUCUGAAGGAAUACCAGUGGCGAAGGCGGCCCCCUGGACAAAGACUGACGCUCAGAUGCGAAAGCGUGGGGAGCAAACAGGAUUAGAUUCCCUGGUAG
rnacentral:rRNA from 1 species